UGAAGAUAUUUCAUUUUCCACCAUAGGUCUCAAGGCACUCGAAAUCUCCACUUGCAGAUUCUACAAAAAGCGUAUGUCAAAACUGAUCCAUGAAUAGAAAUGUUCAACUCUGGGAGAUAAACGUACACAUCACAAAGAAGUUUCUCAGAUUGCUUCUGUCUAGAUUUUAUGUGAAGAUAUUUCAUUUUCUACCAAAGGCCGCAAAGUGCUCAAAAUGUCCACUUGCAGAUUCUACAAAAAUAGAGUUUCCAAACUGCCCCAUCAAAAGAA
rnacentral:lncRNA from 1 species